GUGGCAAUGCAUUCAGAAUCCACUAUUAGUGAAAACUAAUCUUUGAAAAACAUUAACAAAGAAUGAAGCAUAUUUGAAGAUCCUGUUAAAUUUGUGUGAUUGAGAUGUUAACUGAUGGACUGAUGUGGAUUAUCGUGAUGUUUUUAUCAACUGUUUGAACUCUCAUUCUGACGGCACCCAUUUACUGGAGAGCAUCCAUUAGUGAGCAAUGCUAUACAUUUCUCCAAAUCUGAUGAAGAGAAAAACUCAUCUACAUCUUGGAUGUGGCCCAUUAUAGUCCUCUUCUUCCAUCAUCAUCAUCAUCGUCAUCAUCUCUCCUCCUCUCUGUCUGCAGUGUAAUGGUGCUGGUUUAUGAAGAGCGAUCAGUGUGUUUAUGUGUCACGUGUUUGAUUGCAGAAAGAUGAUUCUUCUUCAGUUAUAAGACGAGAUCUUCAACUCCCCAGUUUCUCAUCACAGAUUCACAGUGGGCUGCAGUGAUUGACAUCUACAUACUGUGAUAUUAAUUUUGGAUAUUUGGAUAAUGUUUUGAAGUCUCUUUAUGAACCCUGCAGAGAAGCAAAUUGUUUAUUAAUCUGAUUGUUGAUGCAGUCUUUUAAUCUACUGCAGUGAAAGUUUUAUCUUAUUAU